rnacentral:RNase_P_RNA from 1 species
UCAGGUGGCUGGGCGGCCGCGGUGUCAGGCUUGAAAAGGCGGCACCGAGGAAAGUCCGGGCUCCACGGAGACAAGGUGCCGGGUAAUUCCCGGCGGGGGUGACCCCAGGGAAAGCGCAGCAGAGAAAGACCGCCGGACGUGCGCGUCCGGUAAGGGUGAAACGGUGCGGUAAGAGCGCACCGCCCCGACCGCAAGGAAGGGGGCUAGGCAAGCCCCACCUGGAGCAAGACCGAAUAGGGAUGGGCCGUGGCUUUUGCCACACAUGCGUCUCCGCAUGCCAUCCGGGUAGGUCGCACCAGGCAUGUCGCAAGGCAUGUCGCAGAUGAAUGGUCGUCGCGCUUGUUCCGUUCCGGAACAAGCGACACAGAACCCGGCUUAUAGGCCACCUGAUCCC